CAAAUGCCUGACCAUUUCAGGGCUAACCAAAAGUUAAAGCAUAUUAUUAAGGGCAUUAUUUAAGUGCCUCAUGAGCACUGACAGGCAUGGGUCAUCUGCCACAUCUCUAGAAAACCUGUUCUAGUGCUUCACCACCCUCAUAGUAAAGAAAUUACUUUGUUGGUUACUGGAGAGGCCAGGAGGUCCAACCAGCUCCUGGAGGUUGGUUGAGAGUCCAUUUGUGUGCGUGUGCACACGUGCAGGAGGUAGUGGGGGGCAGGUAAUCCCCGCUGGGCAAGCUGAGUGUCCAGCUGCUGGAGGGAUCCUAUCCUAGCACAAGUGUGUACAUUCUUUUCCACCAAGGGACCUCCAUCCUGCUCAGCCAGAGAGAAGAGAAGGAUCAGGCCACUGGCACUGUUUGCUCAUGUAUCAGAGAUUCUGCAGAAACAAGAACAGUUAUGACUACCUCAACCGCAGGAAAAGCUUCAGUGAGAAGACAUGCAUUAUUGACAUUGGAGCAACUGUGCAGGAAGGAGCUGUUGUCUGAAAAAUUGAUUCUCUGGUGUCUAGUAAGAGCAAAAGGCUUUUUUUUUUUUUUUCCUGUGAUUUAGCUUUGCUCAGGUUUUGAUGGGGGUCUCUCCUCCUUACCUGGACACCUAGUAACAUGAAAUACAUGGGGAUUUUGAGAACCUUACUGUUCUGUCAAAUUUAACCAAAAUUUGCCAGCUGGUAUUUGUCAGAAGUUAUUAGUGGUAAACCAACAAACACACCCAGGGGUUUGCUUGGAUAUACCUGUGCAUUAACAUAAGAAAUCAAGGGACAACUCAGGAAGCAAUUUGUUUAGGUCAUUCUUAAGAUCCCUUUAGAAAGCUAAUUACUGAGGACUUCAGUUUUACAUCUUAUUUGAAAGAAGGCUCCUCAAGUCAUUCUACAUCCCCUGAUACCAUGCUGAGGCCAUUAGUUCAGCACUAACAAAGCAAGGUGCCACCUGCUGCUCUUCAGAUCUCUCGCAUCAAAGUUGUGAAAUGACCUGACCCAGGAUGUUUAGUAUUUAACCACUUGAUUUCAGAAAGGUCUAGGAAAAAAUAUACUGCUUUCUGUAACAUUGUAUUCUCAAAUUAAACAAGCUUUCCAGCUCAACCUUCAGCCUUUCUGUUCAUGAGCAUUCAGAUAUAUAUUUUAGAUUUGUGUUUUUUGUUUGUUUGUUUCUUUGUUUUUGUUUACUUGUUUGUCUUUUGUGUUUUGUUUUGAUUUUUGGUAGGGGUGUUUUUUUUCUUUUAAUCAUUAUCAGCUAUUUUCACAGCAUCUUAUUUCUUUAACUGCAAGGAUAUAGAAAUGGAUAUAUUUUGUUAUGGUUUAUUCAAUGUUUCUGAGAAAACAAACUGAAUGUACUUUUCUCUUCUCUUCACAGCUUCUUGUUCUCCUGUUUCUUAAUCAGGGAAAUGACAUGUGGUGGCUGUGAUAGUCUAAUUACUGGAAUAAAUUCAUGAUGAAGCUGUUACUCCA
rnacentral:lncRNA from 1 species